AUUGAACGCUGGCGGCAGGCCUAACACAUGCAAGUCGAACGAGUGGCGGACGGGUGAGUAAUGUCUAGGAAACUGCCCGAGGGAGGGGGAUAACUACUGGGACCGGUAGCUAAUACCGCAUACCCUCGGAGGUGCCCCGAUGGGAUUAGCGAGUGGGUGGGGUAACGGCGCACCUAGGCGACGAUCCCUAGCUGGUCUGAGAGGAGGACCAGCCACACUGGAACUGAGACACGGCCCAGACUCCUACGGGAGGCAGCAGUGGGGAAUAUUGCACAAUGGGCGCAAGCCUGAUGCAGCCAUGCCGCGUGUAUGAAGAAGGCCUUCGGGUUGUAAAGUACUUUCAGUGAGGAGGCGUUACCCGCAGAAGAAGCACCGGCUAACUCCGUGCCAGCCGCCGCGGUAAUAC
rnacentral:rRNA from 1 species